GACGAACGCUGGCGGCGUGCUUAACACAUGCAAGUCGAACGGAAAGGCCCUGCUUGCAGGGUACUCGAGAGGCGAACGGGGGAGUAACACGCGGGUGAAAUGCCCCGCACAUCGGGAUAUGCCUGGGAAACUGGGUCUAAUACCGGGUAGGAGCCAUGUUUAGUGUGAUGGUUGGAAAGUUUUUUCGGUGUAGGAUGAGCUCGCGCACUAUCAGCUUGUUGGUGGGGUAAUGGCCUACCAAGGCGGCGACGGGGAGUCGGCCUGAGAGGGUGGACGGCCACACUGGGAAUGCGCUACGGCCCAGACUCCUACGGGAGGCAGCAGUGGGGAAUAUUGCACAAUGGGCGCCAGCCUGAUUCAGCGACGCCGCGUGGGGGAUGACUGCCUUCGUGUUGUAAACUCCUUUCGCUAGGGACGAAGCUCUUUGUGACGGUACCUAGUUAAGAAGCACCGGCUAACUACGUG
rnacentral:rRNA from 1 species